GGCCUCGUGGUCCAAUGGUAACGACACCACUAUUCCCCGAAAAUAGUGGAGAGUGCGGGUUCGAUUCUCGCCGAGGCAG